AUGGAAGAUAGGAGCACUACAUAAACACUGGCAAAAAUGCUUUUGAUGCACAGAAAGGCUCGCAAUACUUGAAAAAGCCACAACACCUACUAAGCACAUAUUUUCAGCCCUUUGCAAAACGUGACCAAAAAAGGCACGCUCCCGCUCGCAAGCUGUUCACUUUGGGGAGGCUCAUCUGCUGUCGAUGGGUUGUAUACAAAGUUCAUGUUUGAUUAAGCACUUCUGCAGAAGUUGCUGGUUUCAGUUGAUAUUUUCUUUGCUUUUUCUUUGCUCUCCUGUCAUAACUGAGACUGCAUAUCUCCUUUUGUAUCCCCAGUCCUUACCAACUAUGGUGUUCCUAUUUAUAGCAUCAUUUUGCUCUUAUUAAAUACUUGAAUCACAAGAGCACAAAAAGGCUUUGUAGCAUUCUCACCCACAAAUAUGUUCAGCCCAUGUGAGUUACUGACAUGAGAGACAGAUUUCAAUAGAUUGUGUGUGGCCUGUGUCCAAGGACAGCAUCCAAGCUCUCCACAGCUCCUUGAGGAUGGCCUUUCCUCCACCCAUCAUUGAGCCCUGCGCUCAGUUUGGGCUUCUCUGCUUUGGGUCCUAAUUGGCAGGCAUUUACAGUGAAGCCUUGCAGUUCUGGAGUUGUCAAGCUUCUCUCUUAGACCUGCAGAUUCCGUUCAGUUUUGGGAAGAAGCACCUCACUCAGUAUCAAGAGAACAGCGGUGACUCACGAGGGUCUUGCCCAUCACAGCUAUAUUAGUAAAAUGGAGUUCACCCAUGCAUUGAGACACUGGGUAUAAACUGAAGAGAUUUGUUGAAAGAAAAAGAAAACAGGGUAAAAUUUAUGACUCAGUUUAAUUUGAAAAGAUGUAUCUGUCUGGAUCCUAUCCACAGACAAGUAUAAAAGUGUGUAACUUCUUAUAGGUAAGCAUCAUUCCCAGAUAUCCAAAGUGUUUACAUUACUCUUCAAAUCUGUGGAAAAAUGCCCAAGAACAGUCCAGAAUUUAAUCCGCUCACUAAGUAUGCACUUAACUCUCAUUGCAGGAAGUUCUGAAGUUUUUCCUAAGGGAGAGAGUGCCUUUACAUAUGAUGACUGUUUAAAAAGAAGAGAGGAGGAAAAUCUUCAAGAAUUUUAUCAACAAAAUGUAUAACAAUACAAAAAGUGUAUUGUUAUAUCAAUCUGAUACACACUUAAGAAAAGUUAUUGUAAAAUAUCUGUCCUUGAUAUCUCUGUGAAAGCUCAUUAUAAACUUCAAAAUCUAGAGAUUCUUGACAAUCAUGUCCAGUAAGAAACAAAAUCAAUAAAGACUGAAAAACAAUACUGAUUAUUGAAUUAAUUUUGUUCAUUUCUUUGGAGGAACAGAGAGAGAAUGUUAUAAAUUUAGGGAAGU